AAGGUUAAGCCUCACGGUUCAUUAGUACCGGUUAGCUCAACGCAUCGCUGCGCUUACACACCCGGCCUAUCAACGUCGUCGUCUUCAACGUUCCUUCAGGACCCUUAAAGGGUCAGGGAGAACUCAUCUCGGGGCAAGUUUCGUGCUUAGAUGCUUUCAGCACUUAUCUCUUCCGCAUUUAGCUACCGGGCAGUGCCAUUGGCAUGACAACCCGAACACCAGUGAUGCGUCCACUCCGGUCCUCUCGUACUAGGAGCAGCCCCCCUCAGUUCUCCAGCGCCCACGGCAGAUAGGGACCGAACUGUCUCACGACGUUCUAAACCCAGCUCGCGUACCACUUUAAAUGGCGAACAGCCAUACCCUUGGGACCUACUUCAGCCCCAGGAUGUGAUGAGCCGACAUCGAGGUGCCAAACACCGCCGUCGAUAUGAACUCUUGGGCGGUAUCAGCCUGUUAUCCCCGGAGUACCUUUUAUCCGUUGAGCGAUGGCCCUUCCAUUCAGAACCACCGGAUCACUAUGACCUGCUUUCGCACCUGCUCGCGCCGUCACGCUCGCAGUCAAGCUGGCUUAUGCCAUUGCACUAACCUCCUGAUGUCCGACCAGGAUUAGCCAACCUUCGUGCUCCUCCGUUACUCUUUAGGAGGAGACCGCCCCAGUCAAACUACCCACCAGACACUGUCCGCAACCCGGAUCACGGGUCCACGUUAGAACAUCAAACAUUAAAGGGUGGUAUUUCAAGGUCGGCUCCAUGCAGACUGGCGUCCACACUUCAAAGCCUCCCACCUAUCCUACACAUCAAGGCUCAAUGUUCAGUGUCAAGCUAUAGUAAAGGUUCACGGGGUCUUUCCGUCUUGCCGCGGGUACACUGCAUCUUCACAGCGAGUUCAAUUUCACUGAGUCUCGGGUGGAGACAGCCUGGCCAUCAUUACGCCAUUCGUGCAGGUCGGAACUUACCCGACAAGGAAUUUCGCUACCUUAGGACCGUUAUAGUUACGGCCGCCGUUUACCGGGGCUUCGAUCAAGAGCUUCGCUUGCGCUAACCCCAUCAAUUAACCUUCCGGCACCGGGCAGGCGUCACACCGUAUACGUCCACUUUCGUGUUUGCACAGUGCUGUGUUUUUAAUAAACAGUUGCAGCCAGCUGGUAUCUUCGACUGAUUUCAGCUCCACGAGCAAGUCGCUUCACCUACGUAUCAGCGUGCCUUCUCCCGAAGUUACGGCACCAUUUUGCCUAGUUCCUUCACCCGAGUUCUCUCAAGCGCCUUGGUAUUCUCUACCUGACCACCUGUGUCGGUUUGGGGUACGAUUUGAUGUUACCUGAUGCUUAGAGGCUUUUCCUGGAAGCAGGGCAUUUGUUGCUUCAGCACCGUAGUGCCUCGUCAUCACGCCUCGGCCUUGAUUUUCCGGAUUUGCCUGGAAAACCAGCCUACACGCUUAAACCGGGACAACCGUCGCCCGGCCAACAUAGCCUUCUCCGUCCCCCCUUCGCAGUAACACCAAGUACAGGAAUAUUAACCUGUUUCCCAUCGACUACGCCUUUCGGCCUCGCCUUAGGGGUCGACUCACCCUGCCCCGAUUAACGUUGGACAGGAACCCUUGGUCUUCCGGCGAGCGGGCUUUUCACCCGCUUUAUCGUUACUUAUGUCAGCAUUCGCACUUCUGAUACCUCCAGCAUACCUCACAGCACACCUUCACAGGCUUACAGAACGCUCCCCUACCCAACAACGCAUAAGCGUCGCUGCCGCAGCUUCGGUGCAUGGUUUAGCCCCGUUACAUCUUCCGCGCAGGCCGACUCGACCAGUGAGCUAUUACGCUUUCUUUAAAUGAUGGCUGCUUCUAAGCCAACAUCCUGGCUGUCUGGGCCUUCCCACAUCGUUUCCCACUUAACCAUGACUUUGGGACCUUAGCUGGCGGUCUGGGUUGUUUCCCUCUUCACGACGGACGUUAGCACCCGCCGUGUGUCUCCCGUGAUAACAUUCUCCGGUAUUCGCAGUUUGCAUCGGGUUGGUAAGUCGGGAUGACCCCCUUGCCGAAACAGUGCUCUACCCCCGGAGAUGAAUUCACGAGGCGCUACCUAAAUAGCUUUCGGGGAGAACCAGCUAUCUCCCGGUUUGAUUGGCCUUUCACCCCCAGCCACAAGUCAUCCGCUAAUUUUUCAACAUUAGUCGGUUCGGUCCUCCAGUUAGUGUUACCCAACCUUCAACCUGCCCAUGGCUAGAUCACCGGGUUUCGGGUCUAUACCCUGCAACUUAACGCCCAGUUAAGACUCGGUUUCCCUUCGGCUCCCCUAUUCGGUUAACCUUGCUACAGAAUAUAAGUCGCUGACCCAUUAUACAAAAGGUACGCAGUCACACGCCUAAGCGUGCUCCCACUGCUUGUACGUACACGGUUUCAGGUUCUUUUUCACUCCCCUCGCCGGGGUUCUUUUCGCCUUUCCCUCACGGUACUGGUUCACUAUCGGUCAGUCAGGAGUAUUUAGCCUUGGAGGAUGGUCCCCCCAUAUUCAGACAGGAUACCACGUGUCCCGCCCUACUCAUCGAGCUCACAGUAUGUGCAUUUUUGUGUACGGGGCUGUCACCCUGUAUCGCACGCCUUUCCAGACGCUUCCACUAACACACACACUGAUUCAGGCUCUGGGCUGCUCCCCGUUCGCUCGCCGCUACUGGGGGAAUCUCGGUUGAUUUCUUUUCCUCAGGGUACUUAGAUGUUUCAGUUCCCCCGGUUCGCCUCAUUAACCUAUGGAUUCAGUUAAUGAUAGUGUGACGAAUCACACUGGGUUUCCCCAUUCGGAAAUCGCCGGUUAUAACGGUUCAUAUCACCUUACCGACGCUUAUCGCAGAUUAGCACGUCCUUCAUCGCCUCUGACUGCCAGGGCAUCCACCGUGUACGCUUAGUCGCUUAA
rnacentral:rRNA from 1 species